rnacentral:rRNA from 1 species
UACGAAGGGGGCUAGCGUUGUUCGGAUUUACUGGGCGUAAAGCGCACGUAGGCGGAUUGUUAAGUCAGGGGUGAAAUCCUGGAGCUCAACUCCAGAACUGCCUUUGAUACUGGCAAUCUUGAGUCCGGAAGAGGUGAGUGGAACUCCUAGUGUAGAGGUGGAAUUCGUAGAUAUUAGGAAGAACACAGUGGCGAAGGCGGCUCACUGGUCCGGUACUGACGCUGAGGUGCGAAAGCGUGGGGAGCAAACAGG